CUACAGGGGAAGUCGGUAAUCCUAUGCUGCCAAGAAAAUCUUCUAGCGAGGUUCGAGCCGCCCGUACCCCAAACCGACUCAGGUGGUUAGGUAGAGAAUACCAAGGCGAUCGAGUGAAUCGUGGUUAAGGAAUUCGGCAAAAUACCCCCGUAACUUCGGGAGAAGGGGGGCCCAGAGGGUGAAGGGACUUGCUCCCCGAGCCUGAACGGCCGCAGAGACCAGGGAGAAGCGACUGUUUACUAAAAACACAGGUCCGUGCCAAGUCGCAAGACGAUGUAUACGGACUGACGCCUGCCCGGUGCUGGAACGUUAAGGGGACCGGUUAGCCUCACGGCGAAGCUGAGAACUUAAGCGCCAGUAAACGGCGGUGGUAACUAUAACCAUCCUAAGGUAGCGAUAUUCCUUGUCGGGUAAGUUCCGACCUGCACGAAUGGCGUAACGAUUUCUCCACUGUCUCAACCACGAACUCGGCGAAAUUGCACUACGAGUAAAGAUGCUCGUUACGCGCAGAAGGACGGAAAGACCCCGGGACCUUUACUACAGCUUGGUAUUGGUGUUCGGUACGGCUUGUGUAGGAUAGGUGGGAGACUGUGAAGCUGACACGCCAGUGUCGGUGGAGUCAACGUUGAAAUACCACUCUGGUCGUUCUGGAUAUCUAACCCAGGUCCGUGAUCCGGAUCAGGGACAGUGCCUGGUGGGUAGUUUAACUGGGGCGGUUGCCUCCCAAAAGGUAACGGAGGCGCCCAAAGGUUCCCUCAGCCUGGUUGGCAAUCAGGUUUCGAGUGUAAGUGCACAAGGGAGCUUGACUGUGAGACUGACAAGUCGAACAGGGACGAAAGUCGGGACUAGUGAUCCGGCGGUGGCUUGUGGAAGCGCCGUCGCUCAACGGAUAAAAGGUACCCCGGGGAUAACAGGCUGAUCUUGCCCAAGAGUCCAUAUCGACGGCAUGGUUUGGCACCUCGAUGUCGGCUCGUCGCAUCCUGGGGCUGGGGUAGGUCCCAAGGGUUGGGCUGUUCGCCCAUUAAAGCGGUACGCGAGCUGGGUUUAGAACGUCGUGAGACAGUUCGGUCCCUAUCCUCUGCGCGCGCAGGAAACUUGAGAAGGGCUGUCCCUAGUACGAGAGGACCGGGAUGGACGAACCUCUGGUGUGUCAGUUGUUCUGCCAAGAGCACCGCUGAUUAGCUACGUUCGGGAGUGAUAACCGCUGAAAGCAUCUAAGCGGGAAGCAUGCUUCAAGAUGAGGUUUCCAUGGGUUUACCCCGAGAGGCUCCCAGCUAGACUACUGGGUUGAUAGGCCGGAUGUGGAAGUGCGGUAACGCAUGGAGCUGACCGGUACUAAUAAGCCGAUAAC
rnacentral:rRNA from 1 species